rnacentral:lncRNA from 1 species
UAUAUUUUGGAUAAUGCCAUUCAUACAACGUUCUAGAAAAUGAAAAUUAAUCUACAUGAUUGAAACUGACAAAAAUUUCAUCAGUGGUUUUCUCGGGCCUCAGGGGAAGGAAAGGAUGGAUCACUAAGAGCCAGGAGGAAAUUUUGAGAGUUAAUGGAGAUGUUCUUCACAGGUGCAAAGCCAAAGUCAUCCAACAGCCAGAACAUAUACAGAGUUCCUAACCAGUGCCAAGCUCUGUGUCCAGCUUCGAGGGAAAUAUCAAAGGACUGGCCAAAAUCCUAAUUCUCAAGAACUUCCUGACCAAGAUGGCGGACAGAGUCCCUGGCUUUCACCAUGUUCUCUGAGAUGUGAAGAACCCCUGAGUUUAAAACUAUUAUCCGGACCAUCUCAAUAUAUACUUGCAACUGAAAUGGCCGUGAUCUGAAGUCACUGUGUCUCUCCAAAG